AUGGGAAGGCACUGCGAUGAUAUUAUAUAUACUCCCUCCAUUCCACAACAUAAUGUGAUUAUCAUUUCACAUGCAGAUAUGCUGAAUGUGGGUGGGUUACCUCUCGGUGAUAUCACUAAUGUGUGUCAACAAACCACGGUGGACCUUGACGAGAAAAAAGAGCAAAAAAAGGCUCGGAGGAGAGCUGCUUAUCGAAAGAAAAAAGAGGAGGAAUCCAGCAAGCAACAAGAUGAAAAUCUGACUGGCCUUACGAUAUCAGGUAAGGAUGAUUAUGUUUAUGAUGACCGUAUGUAUACUUUCUUAGUGAAUAAUGUAGGCGACACAUGUUUCCUCACCCCAACCCCACGAAUAAUUGACCAAGAAUAUAGAAUAAAAAUAAUUGACCAACACAAUUCCUGA
rnacentral:rRNA from 1 species